AACUAACAGGAUUCCCUCAGUAACGGCGAGUGAAGAGGGAAGAGCUCAGUUUUGUAAUCUGGCAGUGAUUCACUGUCCGAGUUGUAAAUUGAAGAGAGUGUCAUCCACGCUGGACCACGUCCAAAUUGUAAUGAUCCACAGUCCUUUGAUGGGGAGUAUCAGAGAGGGUAAUAAUCCCGUCUUUAACGUGGACUUGCCAGUGUUUCUGUGAUGCACUCUCUCAGAGUCGAGUAGUUUGGGAAUGCUGCUCUAAUGGGAGGUAAACUCCUUCUAAAGCUAAAUAUUGGCGAGAGACCGAUAGCGAACAAGUACCGUGAGGGAAAGAUGAAAAGAACUCUGAAAAGAGAGUCAAACAGAACGUGAAAUUGCUGAAAGGGAAGCAUUUGGAGUCAGACACGUCUUCAUGCAAAUACGACUCGGCAGUAGAGGCUGAGAGGGGAGUGGCUUGAAGACGGGCCAGCAUUCACGAAGACCAUUGAAGAAGGGGUCAUGGAAUGUAGCUCAGUUCUCUGAGUGAUUAUAGCCUUGAUUCAGAAGCAAUGCGUCUUUGUGGGAUGAGAGAGACAGCACCUUUGAGUGCUUGAUAGACUGGCAUAAUGGCUCUAAGUGACCCGUCUUGAAACACGGACCAAGGAGUCUAACAUGUAUGCAAGUAUUAGAGUGAUUGAAACUCUGAAUGCGCAAUGAACGUGUCUUGACUGAGAAUCCUCUGGUUUGAGGGGAGGCAUCAGUACCCCGAAUCUAUUCGUCUUUGAUGAGAGAUUUGGAGGCAGAGCAUACAUGUUGGGACCCGAAAGAUGGUGAACUAUGCCUGAAUAGGGUGAAGUCAGAGGAAACUCUGAUGGAGGCCCGUAGCGAUUCUGACGUGCAAAUCGAUCGUAGAAUUUGGGUAUAGGGGCGAAAGAC
rnacentral:rRNA from 1 species